CAGCAUCCAAGUGCCUUGCAUAUCAAAGAGACCACACUGAAGAGCCUGCAGGUGUCUGUCAAAGCUGAUGAACAUGCUGGGGCCGAUCCUGGCAGCUCUGCUACUUUUUGCACAGAAAAUCUCCUGAACAAGCUGAACAUCAGAGGAAAAAGGACCAACAUCCUCUUAAGGACAAUGAACCAAGAACAAUCUGUGAUUACCUACAUGGCAAAUGGAAUAGAGGUUAGUGCAUUGAACGAAAACAAUUUUAUUGCACUCCCUGAGGUGUACACACAAAAGAGUAUGCCUGUAGACACCGACAGCAUUCUAAAGACAGAAGAGCUAGCUAGGUGGCCUUACUUGAGUGAGAUCCAGAUCCCGAAAAUCAAGGCUGAAGUGGAGCUGUUGAUUGGCAACAAUGCUCCCAAAGCAAUUGAACCAUGGGAAAUAAUAAAUAGUCGUGAAAAUGGGCCAUAUGCUGUGAAGACCCUAUUGGGAUGGGUUGUUAAUGGUCCUCUAGAUGACAGUGUUGUGACAGACAGCAGUGGGCAUCAGAAAGUUACUGUCAACAGAACAUCAGUUGCAAAGCUGGAAGAUUUGAUUGUACAACAGUACAAUCAUGACUUCAAUGAGAAAUUAGAUGACAAAGAAAUGUCAAUAGAGGAUAAAAGAUUGAUCAAAAUUGCAGAGCAGCGCCUAAUAGGCCUGAAAAGGAAGUUAAAAAGAAAUGAAACAUUCAGAAAUGAGUACACAGAGUUUAAGGAGGAUGUGAUCAGCAAUGGACAUGCUGAAGUGGUGCCACAAGCUGAACUUGAAAGAGAAGACGGCAAGUCUCUUGAAACAGAAAAUGAAGCCGUCGACCUGGUGAGACCUUACCUGUGUUUGCCACAAGGGAGGAUUCCAUCUAACCAAAUGGGUGAGUAACAGUCGCACUGUACUGUCUCAUAUCCCCAAAGAAGACCGAGCGACUGAAAUGAAAGAACUUGAUUUGGACAGGGACAAACUCCCUACAGAAAGAGCCC
ensembl:lncRNA